UGAUUGUAAAUGACCAUCUCUUGAGUUUUACAGAAGCCCUGUAUCUGAUGUUCUCUCUUUACUAUAUAUUGAACAUCAGUUACCCUGUAGAACUGGGAGCCACACUAGAAUUCUUGCAAAGGUGCAUCUUUAGAAUAAAUCCUCAUAAAGGUACCAAGGUGGAAAAGAGAGAGAAAAAGAGAGCGUACUCUGUCAACCCCAGAGCAUUGAAUCUGACGUCAAAAAUUGCUGCAUUUGACUGGGGAGAGUAACGGAUGUGGUCUUUCAGAAGAUUGACAUUUCUCUGAAGAACAGGACAGACAGACUUUUUGUACAUCAGUGCAGUGCUUUGUUCCUUAAAUUAUUUUUAUAACCUUGUGAUGUGAUUGGGAUUGUCAGAAUACAGGCCCAGUGUUUUGUUUGUUUGAAAAUUGAACAAAUUUGUGUUCUAAAACAUGCCUUAUCCAUUUU